AUUUCAACAAUCGGAUCAGGUUCUGCUUAGCUGAGAUUAAUAGGGAAUCGUGUGCAAAUCACGAACUGUCGCGCAACUGUAAGUAACAAAAGGUUCUAUCAAUACAUAUCCACUGUUCAUAUAUAAUCAGGAUGGGAAGGAUGAUAAAACUGUUACAAGUCAGGAUACCUGCCUGCUCUGGAUGUACGAU
rnacentral:ncRNA from 2 species